UACGAAGGGUGCAAGCGUUACUCGGAAUUACUGGGCGUAAAGCGUGCGUAGGUGGUUUGUUAAGUCUGAUGUGAAAGCCCUGGGCUCAACCUGGGAAUUGCAUUGGAUACUGGCAGGCUAGAGUGCGGUAGAGGGUAGUGGAAUUCCCGGUGUAGCAGUGAAAUGCGUAGAGAUCGGGAGGAACAUCCGUGGCGAAGGCGACUACCUGGACCAGCACUGACACUGAGGCACGAAAGCGUGGG
rnacentral:rRNA from 1 species